rnacentral:rRNA from 1 species
CGUAUGGGGCAAGCGUUAUCCGGAUUUACUGGGUGUAAAGGGAGCGUAGGCGGCCUGGCAAGCCUGAUGUGAAAUACCGGGGCCCAACCCCGGGGCUGCAUUGGGAACUGCCAGGCUGGAGUGCCGGAGAGGCAGGCGGAAUUCCUAGUGUAGCGGUGAAAUGCGUAGAUAUUAGGAGGAACACCAGUGGCGAAGGCGGCCUGCUGGACGGUGACUGACGCUGAGGCUCGAAAGCGUGGGGAGCAAA